rnacentral:rRNA from 1 species
UAAGCGUACACGGUGGAUGCCUAGGCAAUCAGAGGCGAUGAAGGACGUGCUAAUCUGCGAUAAGCGUCGGUAAGGUGAUAUGAACCGUUACAACCGACGAUUUCCGAAUGGGGAAACCCAGUGCAAUCCGUUGCACUAUCGUUUGAUGAAUACAUAGUCAAACGAAGCGAACCGGGGGAACUGAAACAUCUCAGUACCCCGAGGAAAAGAAAUCAACCGAGAUUCCCCUAGUAGCGGCGAGCGAACGGGGAGCAG